UACGGAGGGUGCAAGCGUUAUCCGGAUUCACUGGGUUUAAAGGGUGCGUAGGCGGCCUAUUAAGUCAGUGGUGAAAUAUUUCAGCUCAACUGGAAUUGUGCCAUUGAUACUGAUGGGCUUGAGUACAGAUGAGGUAGGCGGAAUUGACGGUGUAGCGGUGAAAUGCUUAGAUAUCGUCAAGAACACCUAUAGCGAAGGCAGCUUACUAGGCUGUAACUGACGCUGAGGCACGAAAGUGUGGGGAUCAAACAGG
rnacentral:rRNA from 1 species